rnacentral:lncRNA from 1 species
CCAGUAUGUCUUAAUUUUUUUUAUGGGCAUGGAAACUUAUUGAGUAGUGAUCCCAAACCAAACAUGAGACCAAACUUGCUGCCUGGAAAUCGUCAUGCUGAUGAUAGGUUUAUGAUUGGCAUAGAUGGAACCCAUCAGAAGGUACAAGUGAGAGGAACUCUAAAAUGACAGGAAUACAAUAACUACUUGACAGUAAGACAGGAGAAGUCAAGAUGUUGAACAAUUAAGAAAAGAAUGUGAUGCCAAUGGAAGACAUUUGACUUUAACCAGCAUAAAGGUCACCAUAUCUUCAUGUCACUUGCUUUCUUUGAAAAAUACAAGUGUUACACCUGGAAACAAUAAGGCUCAUACUGUAGAGCCUUAGAAGAAGGGAUACAGAAUAUGAUAUAAAUUUCAGCACAUGGAGAGCCCUGCAAGGGACUUAAGACUGACUUGUUGAUCUUUGCUGUCAUUGUCAAUAAUCACAGCAAGCAAUAGAUGGGCCAAAAAGCCACCCCGCAGAGACAUUCCACUGCCAAUCUCCCCAGUAUACAAACAUUAUAUGAAGGGGCACUGGUUAUUCCAGUUCAGGAU